UGCCCUGCUUUUGCUCCUAGUUCUGUCUUUUAGUUUUAUUUCUCAGGCCUGCAUCACACCGGGCAGGGAACUGGAUGGAACCUAACUGCAGGGGUCUCUUAAACAUUAACAUUAACAUUAACAGGGCUCUUGUUCAUAUUCUGUUACCUGCAGCCACUGUAUUAAUUCCAGUUUACUGCAAGAAAUCUUUGUUAUUUCCAAACCUUUCAAGAUAGAUGUGAAUGACGCCCAGGUUACAGGCUUGGACGGGGUACAAAACUUGGCUCUUCUGCGAUCUGAUAAGUUAUGGAGCCGGAACAGGAUUCUCAUGUGUGCCGAUCCUGUGGCUGGAUCUGUCUUCACUCCUCCCUUCCCCAGCGAGCCGGGAAGUAGGGUCUCCAGCUCUUCGGUUAAGAAGCUGCCGGGAAGAGGUGCGAUGAAAAAUAAUAGUGACUGCUGCUUGCAAGAGCCAUCCCACAGAAAGACAGCUCGUAAAACUUCUACCUCACUCACUGGAUCUGGCACCAGGUGGCACCUGACUCUUCCCCAGAGUCAAACAAACAUGUAAGUUCAAUGCUUUGAAUCGAUUCGGGACAUCCAGGCAGCCAGGACAGCACAACUAAAGACAGGAAGGAGAGGACUACAGAGCAGCUGCAGAAAGUGGCGAGGACGAUGGGACGGGAGAGUUCAAAGCCAGGGAGAGGAUCCGAGGUACUGGGGCCUGAAGAGCUCUGAUAUUCCUCAGCUGUUGCCUGACAGGUGCUUGCCGGUUUAUACCUGGAGUGGGCAUGAACUCCAAGGCGGUGCGUGGAUUACUCCUAAAGAUGGGGCCUCCACGGGUCCCUGCACAUCUCUGAUGUCAGUUGUUGAGGUCUUCUGCGCUGCUCGUGUCCCCUCUGAAGUCUCUCCAGCCCCCGCCUAGAGUUUUAGGUCUGGCUGUCCUAUGCUUGGAGCCAGUUUGGGAAGGUUGAGAAGUGGGCUAGAUCCCAGCUUUCCAACGCAUAAACAUUUAUUUAUCCCCUGAUUUCAGCAUGCACAGCCUCUCCUAAACUAGUUCAGAUUGCGGCCUGGGCCUCUCUGGGUAACAGAAUCAUGAGCUCCAUUCUGAUACUGAACCUCGCGUUUCCUGGCUUCUGUCAAAGCUACAGCAUCUCUCAUGGAGUGGGAAAGCAACUGCUCAGCCUGUUUCUCCACACCUCAGUUGUAACUGCCACCAGCCACUCAGGCUGCCAUGAGGCAGCUGCCACAGUCCCCUGCUGCCCUUCCUCCAAUGCGCUCUGCAUUGUGCUCAGAGCUGAGAUGCCCUGUAGCCGUGGGACAGGCUGACAGCAUGCUGCUUUGUCUGACUUCAUGGCUGCUGACCACCAGCAAGAAAAGUGGUGGCAGGGUCUCUUGCCCUGGGUGGAACCAGCCUGCCCAGGUCCCCUGCUGGGGCCACCGCUCCCUCUUCUUCCCACUGGCUCUGUUUGCUUCCCUGCCACCUUCUGCCCCCACGAGUGCCUGGGGCGUCACGAACACUUUAUACCCACGACACCCGCCUCCCUUUGCUUUAUAAGCGACCACGAAAGACCUGGGUGGAAUCAUGAAUUUGCCUUUGCCGGAUUUCAGCCUUUGAGUCUUUAUCGAUUCAUCUGAAGAAAGACUUUCCUGCAAGAGGAUUAAUGAAAGCCACAGAUUAUUUAAGAAUUUUAAAAUAAGGAAGAAGGGACGAGGCGGGCCGUAUUCUUCACUGGCUAUGUAGAGGGAUGGAAGCCAGUGGGAGCUUCACACCGACACAGGAUUCUGAGGUUUGACGGAAGCCGGGAAAAGGGAAGAUCAGCAUCAGAGUGAGCAAGCCUUUACCGCUGACAGAACACACUGGAAAGCUCCGGAAGGAAACGGCAAAAACUAUCCCGAGUUAUAAGUAUUCUGAAGGCCAAGUCUCACGGGAAAGCUUAUGCAAUUUACUGGCUUCUCUGCCAGGUCCCAUUUCCCGGGGAGGCGAUCACUGAGGAAUACAGAGUUCUACGGAAAUAAAUCUGCCUCUCCCCAGAGAAAUGCUCCUAGAAACUUAUUUACAUUUGCCCUUUAAAGCGUGCCGUGGGAGAGACUUUCGGAAGGCGCGGUUCCGGUAACUGACUUUCGUUAGAACCCAGACGUAUUACAUUCCAGCUGCAGCUGCUUCUUCCAGAGCACAGAACACUGAAAGCCAUAUAGCUCUCCGUGAGGGGACAGAAGCACCCUCAGGAUCACCCUGUAUUCAACAAGCGCUUUACAGCGUUUAAAUUGCCAACUGUGGCAAACCAGAAUAGGCCAAUUACAUUCUAGGCAGGAGAAGCAAUACAGAUUCAGAUGCAAAUGAAAUAAAGCCAUACAGAUCUAGCUUCACGUGAAUCACCGUAUGACUCACGUACACAUGGUGUGCCGGAAAGUGUCCAGCAUGGCCAGGUCUGACUCAUCGCAGGGACUGGUGCUGGUGGCCUGCUUCUGUGGACCCGCUGAGAGAGACUGGGAUCUGGUCCAGCUCUCUCUUCCCUUGCUCAACCACAGUAGAAAGGAACACCGGCUGUGGGAAGCUCUCAGUCCACCCACAGGGGACAGUGCAAGAGCUGUGCCCUGACCGUGUGUGUGUCCCAUUGCAGACUUUGACAGAGCAAGCAUUCACCAGACUUUCGUUCUGUGCCAGAGUCUACACCACGCUGAUACUUAGCCAUCGGGAAGAUGACUGCUGCGGUCUAGAGAGGUAGUCCUUCAUUUGUGGCCUGUGCGCUGUGUACCUCUCACCUGAUCUUCUCAGCACCGAGGGGAUUGUACCGAUUUCUCAACUUCCCUGGGACGCGAGCGGCUGUGGAGGUGCAGCAGUUUCCCAGCAGUUUCUGCAGAGAGCCGGUCACCAGGCUGGGGCUGGAGUGGCCCGGUGGUUGCUACUCUGAGCCACCUCCCAAGAAGCUGCUACAGCCUAAAGGAAUUUUUAAUACAUGAACUUUGGAGGACAAGGAGAGAUGACAUCAAGAGCAAAUGGCAGCUGCAAGGUGGAGGCUUGUUUGGCAAGGGAGACCUUGCCACUGACCCUCUGAGAUGCCCGGCCCGGCCUUGCUGAAUUUCAGAGGCUGCUCUCUCUGUGGGCCUGAGCUGCCGUGGGAGGAGCCCACCAGGACAGGAAUGCUGUGUUCGAACCAAUCCCAGCUCCUCUCCAUGGGAGCCCUGAGACUUUGCCAUCCCAAGUCCUGUACCACUGGGAGCCGCUCGGGAACCCUAUGACCCAGCUCCCCAUGGGUGGGUUUUGUCCACAGCGUGUGUCCCUGUACUCUUGGCCAUCCCUGCAGAUCCCAGGGAGCACCCAAACUUGGGUCACAUUCGCUGUCCUUGGACAGAGAGACCUGGGUGCCUGGGAGCUGAGUCAGAGCGAGGUCAGCACCAGGCAGGUGGUCAGCAAGCCGCGGGCGAGUGCACAGUGCUCUGUGGAUGCCUGCCUUCUCCGGAAGGGCACACUGGCUUUUCUUUUUCCUCCGCUGGAGACAGCAGUGUUUACCUAACAAAGAUUACUUUGUGCCAAAGCCAGCAGCGUAGGCUUUUCUCAUUUGCCACCCAAAAGUAGCCUAAGACACUGGAGAUUAUUAAAGCCCAGCCAGUGGUCCACCCUUGGACACACAGUGAGGUUAACGGAGGAGAUGACGCAGUGGAGGCCACCAGCCUAGGCCCCUCGGAAUGCUCCACUCAUCCUCGGACCCCCUUCUGUCCCCUGUCCUCUCUGGACUGCGGUCCUACAGCUUCAGGAUCUCGUGGUCCUCUGCCUGUCUUAUUUACAUCCCUAACACAAUUUCCAGGCUUGAGGUACAGAACACAGGAUGAAAAGCCAGGGAGAUUUAUUCCAUUCCCUAGUCCUGGAGAUCGGGGGCAGUUUAUAUAAAUUCUUGCUGUUGCUGAACAAUUUAAUAUACCAUUGUCUAGGCAACAGAAUUUCCCUCAAUUAGAUUUUAAGCGAGUAUGGGAGGGAGCUUUCCCCUUGCUCUCCAGCAACAUUAGGUAUUUGUAGGAACUUCGAGCCAGAUUCCCCGGCAGCCCUGUUAUCCCUUGGCUUCUGCAGAGGGUGUAAGACUGUGGGUGGGAAGAGCCCAGGGGCACAGGGCGGGUGCUGCAGAGGCCCCUGGCAGAGGAUGGGCUUCGGAGCCUGAGUGGCCGAGGCACUGGUCCUCAGCCUUGGCAGCCCUGAGAGUCCAUCCUGUCAGAAGUUACUGGAUUCUUGGCAGGCACAUGCAGGGAGCGGCCUACAGCAAAAGGAGACACAAAAGAGCUUGGUGCAGGCAGCCUGAGGGGCUCCUGGGCCGGCCAAGCACAUUUUCUCCCUGAGGUGCAGCUCCGCAGGGAGCCAGCGUAAACGUGGACUUGGGGAGAAGCCCCGGGCUGAGGGUGGGUGCUGCCUCUGCUGCUUCCUGCUGCUCUGUGGUCACCUGAGGAGCCUCUCUGCCAAGGGCCGAUGUCACCAUAGGCCCGGGCCUCUGUGUGCCUUUGAGCUCCAGCAUGAGCAGAGCCUGAGGCGUCACUCUCAGCACAGCCCCGGUCCCCUCUUGGCCACACUCUUGGAAAUGACUGCAACUGCAGCUGGGCGUGGGGUGAGGCUGCCUCUGAUGGGGAUGUGGUGACCAGACAGGAGGUGGCCUGUUCCGUGAGGAGAGGUGACGCUGGGCACCGUUUACAGAGUGCUGCCUAGGCCUUGGGGUCAUCAGCCCCUUUAAACCCACAAGGAGACAGCUAAUAGAUUUCCCAGCGGACGAACGGCAGGUUUGGUAAAUUGACUCCUUUUGUUGAGUUAGUUCUAAUAGACCACUUUGCAUCCAUCUUUACGAUAGCACUUGGACACGCGAUGUCCUUGCUCCUGCUUCCUAGAGCUGCCAUGGGAGCCUGUGGUGAGGAGCAGGGAGGAGAGGGACAGAAAGGAUGCCGUGCAUUCUUCAGCAGCUCUCACAUACACCUGUCAGCCGCGUUUCCUUGCGCCUGUGUGAGUCUUCCUGGAAGGAACGUGUUCUCACAAGUGUGUUUUUCCGCCACCCUCGUGCCUCCCUCUCUGCUCCAUCCUCCAGCUGUAGGAACAGAGAUCAGGGACGACACGGUCGGAUAUCCCGUUGCUGAGAAACUUGACCGAGGUAACAGUGACAAGUGUUAGAACACAAUGUUUAGACAAUCUGUCUGACACUGAGUUGGGGUCGUUGUGCUGCUCGGCAGGACAAAGGCACAGGAGGGAGGAGAGACUGUGCCACAGGAUGGCUCCCGGUGCACCAGAGAACUGCACUCAAACUCCAAGAUCUACACAGGCCAGGAAGGAGGGAGAACAGCCACAGAGUAAAGGAAUUAGAACAGUCUCAUUUCAUGUCCUCUAAGAGAGCCCACAGUGCAAAGUGCAAGACCAUGAGGACGGUGGGGACCUGGGCACCGGCAAACUGAGGAGGGAGUUUCCGUCAAUGCUGCAGACCCUGUCAGUUUUUACAAAGGGAUGUUCUGCCUGUGACGCCCAGUAUCCCAAGCAGUGGGCCUCACUGAACCACAUGGUUACCGGACAUGGUCCGCGACUUGCAGCCCUGAGAGUUGUUUGGCGUGGAGCUUUCCUGUGUCCUGCACCGGGGAAUGGGUGCCAGUGGGUUGGGUGUGGUGAGGAGGGGAUCGGGAGUUCUGAUGACCGGGAGGAUUAGAUGGAGAGGUCAAGAAAUAACUUUGAGGUGUAGACGAAUAACACUGGACCACUACAAAGCAAUCGAUUCCGGAUGGAUCGCUCAGCACCUACAGUGAAUGAAGAGCAGACUUCGGAACCUGAAAAUCUGUCACCGGAUUAAUCCCAGCUCCUUUGCUUACCUGCUGUGCAACCCCAAGCAAGUCAACUUUCCCCUUGGUGCCUCGCUUCCUUCAGCCUGAAUGUCUGUGUGAUUUCAGUGCAACAAAAUAUUAAAGGCAAGAUAAGUAACAGAUGGGAGGUUCUCAAGAAGCU